GGUCGUAUGGCCCAACGGAUAAGGCGUCUGACUUCGAAUCAGAAGAUUGCAGGUUCGAAUCCUGCUACGAUCG